rnacentral:rRNA from 1 species
AUUGAACGCUGGCGGCAGGCCUAACACAUGCAAGUCGAACGAGUGGCGGACGGGUGAGUAAUGUCUGGGAAACUGCCUGCUUGUGGGGGAUAACUACUGUACACGAUAGCUAAUACCGCAUACCAUCAGAUGUGCCCAGAUGGGAUUAGCUUGUUGGUGGGGUAACGGCUCACCAAGGCGACGAUCCCUAGCUGGUCUGAGAGGAUGACAAGCACCACUGGAACGGAGACACGGUCCAGACUACUAUGGGAGGCAGCAGAGGAGAAUAGUGCACUAUGGGCGGGAGGCUGAUGCGGCCAUGCCGCGUGUAUGAAGAAGGGAUUCGGGUUGUAAAGUAAUUCCAGCGUGGAGGCGUUACCCGCAGAAUAAGCACCGGCUAACUCCGUGCCAGCAGCCGCGGUAAUAC